CCUACGGGAGGCUGCAGUGGGGAAUAUUGGACAAUGGAGGCAACUCUGAUCCAGCGACGCCGCGUGAAUGAAGAAGGCUUUCGGUAUUUUAAGCUCUAUCUGCAGGGAGGAAAGAACUGACGGUACCUGACUACUAAGCCCCUCCUAACUACGUGCCAGCAGCCGCGGUAAUACGGAGGGGGCAAGCGUUAUCCGGAUUUACUGGGUUUAAAGGGAGCGUAGACGGCGAGGCAAGUUUGAGGUGAAAGGCGGUGGCUCAACCCCCGGAUUGCUUUGGAUACUGUAUGGCUAGAGAGCAGUAGCGGUAAGUGGAAUGCAUAGUGUAGCGGUGAAAUGCGUAGAGAUUAGGAGGAACACCAGUGGCGAAGGCGGCUUACUAGGCUACAACUGACGUUGAGGCACGAAAGCGUGGGGAGCAAACAGGAUUAGAUACCCGUGUAGUC
rnacentral:rRNA from 1 species